ensembl:snoRNA
CCUCCAGUUCUUGGCAUGAGUGUGCUGUGCGGUGCGCAUUUGUGGUAUGUGAGGAGGCAGAGCAACUGCCAGAGUUAUGCCUUCGGUGCCAGCGAGUGUCCAUCUUCUGGUUCCAUCCUCAUGCACUGGCACAUUG